rnacentral:rRNA from 1 species
GACGAACGCUGGCGGCGUGCUUAACACAUGCAAGUCGAACGCUGAACCCGCUUCGGUGGGGGAUGAGUGGCGAACGGGUGAGUAACACGUGGGCAACCUGCCCCCGGCUCUGGGAUAACUCCAAGAAAUUGGGGCUAAUACCGGAUGUGACCGCUGGCCGCAUGGUCUGGUGGUGGAAAGGGUUUCCGGCUGGGGAUGGGCCCGCGGCCUAUCAGCUUGUUGGUGGGGUAGUGGCCUACCAAGGCGACGACGGGUAGCCGGCCUGAGAGGGUGACCGGCCACACUGGGACUGAGACACGGCCCAGACUCCUACGGGAGGCAGCAGUGGGGAAUAUUGCGCAAUGGGCGGAAGCCUGACGCAGCGACGCCGCGUGGGGGAUGACGGCCUUCGGGUUGUAAACCUCUUUCAGCAGGGACGAAGCGCAAGUGACGGUACCUGCAGAAGAAGCACUGGCCAACUACGUG